UUGAAUUUUUUUCAUUUCGCCCCUGUAGGCUGUAGCUGCCAGGUUCCCUUCCCCUUCCUCUCGUUCCCUUGUCAUUCCCAACAUGCAACCAGAACAGAGUCCAGAGAGAGAUUCAUGGCGACCCGGUGGUUCCCUAUCCGCUCGAUUCGCUAGGGUGUGGUCAGGCGUCCGGCGUUCACCCUCCGGCUGCUUCGCUCCCGUCCGGCCGCCAACCCCCUCCUGCUCCCCCGCUGUCCGCACCGUUGGUCUGCAGCAUCUCUCGACCGCCGCACCCACCCCCGGCCUUUAUUUCUGCCCCGGCGACUUCGCUGGUCUUCGUGAUUCGCUUUUUUCCAGUGUAUUUACAAGGAAGGUCAGAGUAAUUUACAACCAAGUUGUAAUGUGACAAAAUAUCACAGUAACCUCUCAAGAUAUGUUGAUUCCUGUAUUUUUUGAGUUUACUGGGGUCUAAUAGCAAGAGAAUUAAGUCGGUCAUUUUGGCUUCAUCUUACAUGAAGGAGUGCAUCUUCAUCUUGCUGAUUCCGGGAAGUAGGAGAGGGAACUGUUCACAGGGAGGUAGAGAAGAUUGCCAGGAGAGGAUCUCUUACAUGUGCAUCCAUGAUUUUCUCAAGGUUUGCCCUCUGGAUCUUGGAGGAAUUCCCCCUGUGAUUUCUUCUUUGAUGGGGUGGACAAGCACAUCGACACAUUCAGGGGACAGGAACAAAACGGAGGACAUGUGACACUUGUUAAACUCUGUGUUGCCAAAAAAUAUGACUGAAAACUAAUUGGAUUUCAGAAGAGGAUUUUUGUAGUGUCACUUUAAUGCAUCUUUCACUAUAAUUCUCAGUGGGCAUGAUAGAAA